GCUGGGUGCUGGGCUGUAGUCCCAGCUCCUCCGGAGGCUGAGGCAGGAGGAUCGCUGGAGCCCGGGAGUCCCGGGUUGUAGUGUGGUAUGCCUGUAGUGCAGUGGUGACCUCCCAGGAGCAGGGAUCACCAAGUUGCCUAAGGAGAGAUGAACCAGCCCAGCUCAGAAACAGAGGGCUCACAACUCCUGUGUCCAUCAGUGCUGGGAUCUUGCCUGGGAAUAGACACUGCACUUCAGCCUGGGCAACACAGCCAGAUCCUAUCUCUA
ensembl:misc_RNA Metazoa_SRP Metazoan signal recognition particle RNA